GCUGGCUAAAAUGAAAUAUAUAUCUGGUCCCUAGUCGAUGAUGUUUACUGUGUCCGCAUUCUGCUAUUUUCUGCACUUCUGACUUGAAAGAAGUAUGGAUGAUUCAUUGCUUCUCUAGCUGUAAGUCUGUCCUGAUGAUCAUAACGAAGAAGCUUAUCAAGAAAAUCAGUAGCCUCUGGAGAAACCAGAUGCCGAUUAUCAGCAUUGACAAAUCUUGACCAGGGUUUCCUGCCGUGUCUGCCAACAAGAGCUUCAAGAUGACGAUCUAGCUCUAAGCGAUACUUGUUCA
rnacentral:misc_RNA from 1 species